rnacentral:rRNA from 1 species
UACGUAGGGGGCGAGCGUUGUCCGGAUUUAUUGGGCGUAAAGAGCUCGUAGGCGGCUUGGCAAGUCGGGUGUGAAACCUCCAGGCUCAACCUGGAGACGCCACUCGAUACUGCUAUGGCUAGAGUCCGGUAGGGGACCACGGAAUUCCUGGUGUAGCGGUGAAAUGCGCAGAUAUCAGGAGGAACACCGGUGGCGAAGGCGGUGGUCUGGGCCGGCACUGACGCUGAGGAGCGAAAGCGUGGGUAGCAACAGG